GCUGUGUGGAGAGCCCGCUUGCUAGGGUGUGCAAGCCCUGCCUGAUUUGAAAUAUGACUGCACUGUUGUGAGGGGACUUGCAUAGCAUCUCAUCUCAACGUACUUUCACUGGCUACAACUUGGAAACAAACAUGAGGGAUGCCCCUGAAGAAUAUCCCGGGGAGUCAGUCCAAGUGGGUUCAAAUUCACUGUGUGACGGAGCUUCAUUGCUUUGGUUCAUACCUGUCCU